rfam:Corchorus olitorius cultivar O-4 contig17880, whole genome shotgun sequence.
GGCCCCGUAGCUCAGUUGGAUAGAGCGUUGGUCUUAUGAGCCUAAGGUCGCGAGUUCGGUCCUCUCCGGGACCA